rnacentral:rRNA from 1 species
UACGGGAGGCAGCAGUGGGGAAUAUGCACAAUGGGCGAAAGCCUGAUGCAGGACGCCGCGUGAGGGAUGACGGCCUUCGGGUUGUAAACCUCUUUCAGCAGGGAAGAAGCGCAAGUGACGGUACCUGCAGAAGAAGCGCCGGCUAACUACGUGCCAGCAGCCGCGGUAAUACGUAGGGCGCAAGCGUUGUCCGGAAUUAUUGGGCGUAAAGAGCUCGUAGGCGGCUUGUCGCGUCGGUUGUGAAAGCCCGGGGCUUAACCCCGGGUCUGCAGUCGAUACGGGCAGGCUAGAGUGUGGUAGGGGAGAUCGGAAUUCCUGGUGUAGCGGUGAAAUGCGCAGAUAUCAGGAGGAACACCGGUGGCGAAGGCGGAUCUCUGGGCCAUUACUGACGCUGAGGAGCGAAAGCGUGGGGAGCGAACAGGAUUAGAUACCCUGGUAGUCCACGCCGUAAACGGUGGGAA